rnacentral:rRNA from 1 species
AACGAACGCUGGCGGCAUGCCUCAUACAUGCAAGUCGAACGAGAUCUUCGGAUCUAGUGGCGCACGGGUGAGUAACAUGUGGGAAUCUACCUGAAGGUUCGGAAUAACUGCGGGAAACUGUAGCUAAUACCGGAUGUGUCUGCAAAGAGAAAGAUUUAUCGCCUUCAGAUGAGCCCGCACUAGAUUAGCUAGUUGGUGAGGUAAUUGCUCCACCAAGGCUACGAUCUAUAGCUGAUUUGAGAGGAUGAUCAGCCACACUGGGACUGAGACACGGCCCAGACUCCUACGGGAGGCAGCAGUAGGGAAUAUUGGACAAUGGGGGAAACCCUGAUCCAGCAAUGCCGCGUGAGUGAAGAAGGCCUUCGGGUUGUAAAGCUCUUUCAUCAAUGAUGAUAAUGACAUUAGUUGAAGAAGAAGCCCCGGCUAACUUCGUGCCAGCAGCCGCGGUAAUACGAAGGGGGCUAGCGUUGUUCGGAAUCACUGGGCGUAAAGCGUAUGUAGGCGGAUCAAAAAGUUAGAUGUGAAAUCCCUGGGCUCAACCCAGGAACUGCAUUUAAAACUAGUGAUCUAGAAUUUGGUAGGGGCCAGUAGAAUUUCCAGUGUAGAGGUGAAAUUCGUAGAUAUUGGAAAGAAUACCAGUGGCGAAGGCGACUGGCUGGGCCAUUUUUGACGCUGAGAUACGAAAGCGUGGGUAGCAAACAGGAUUAGAUACCCUGGUAGUCCACGCAGUAAACGAUGAGUGCUAGUCGCUGGGACAAUAGUUUCAGUGUCGAAGCUAACGCAUUAAGCACUCCGCCUGGGAAGUACGGUCGCAAGAUUAAAACUCAAAUAAAUUGACGGGGGCCCGCACAAGCGGUGGAGCAUGUGGUUUAAUUCGAAGCAACGCGAAGAACCUUACCAGACCUUGACAUGGUAUGUUUGAAUUACAGAAUCGUAAUUCUUCAGUUCGGCUGGCAUACACACAGGUGCUGCAUGGCUGUCGUCAGCUCGUGUCGUGAGAUGUUGGGUUAAGUCCCGCAACGAGCGCAACCCUCAUUUUUAGUUGCCAUCAGGUUAAGCUGGGCACUCUAAAAAAACUGCCGGUGAUAAGCUGGAGGAAGGCGGGGAUGACGUCAAGUCCUCAUGGCCCUUACGGUCUGGGCUACACACGUGCUACAAUGGUGGUGACAGUGGGCAGCAAUACUGCAAAGUAAAGCUAAUCCCAAAAAACCAUCUCAGUUCGGAUUGGACUCUGCAACUCGAGUCCAUGAAGUUGGAAUCGCUAGUAAUCGUAGAUCAGCGUGCUACGGUGAAUACGUUCUCGGGCCU